GGAAGUCCACCCCACAUUAUCGCUAUCUCCCCCUCUCUUAAAGUCUCAAAGCUCCACAGGAAAAAAUAUCAACGGCGCAUAGGGAAUCACUUUCGUCAACAAAAGCCAACAUCAUCAUCAUCAUCAUCAUCAUCCUCAUCAUCCCCUUUCUCUCUCUCCCGCUCAGAGCUUCUCACUCGACAGCAAUGCACCACGCCUACAUCACCCCCUCCCAAACCCACCACGGCCACGGCCCGGCCACCCCCAAGUCCCCCUCCGCCCCGN
rnacentral:lncRNA from 1 species